rnacentral:rRNA from 1 species
AUACGGAGGGGGCUAGCGUUGUUCGGAAUUACUGGGCGUAAAGCGCGCGUAGGCGGUUUAUCCAGUCAGGCGUGAAAGCCCUGGGCUCAACCCAGGAACUGCGUUUGAUACUGAUUGACUAGAGGCCGGGAGAGGGUAGUGGAAUUCCCAGUGUAGAGGUGAAAUUCGUAGAUAUUGGGAAGAACACCGGUGGCGAAGGCGGCUACCUGGACCGGACCUGACGCUGAGGUGCGAAAGCGUGGGGAGCAAACAGGAUUAGAUAACCCCAGUAGUCC